rnacentral:tRNA from 1 species
GAAGAAUUAGUUAAACUAUAACAUUAGAAUGUCAACCUAAAAUUAUCAUAUGAUAUUCUUUU